GGGCUGCAGUGAGGAAUAUUGCGCAAUGGGGGAAACCCUGACGCAGCGACGCCGCGUGGAUGAUGAAGGCUUUCGGGUCGUAAAAUCCUGUCAGAUGGGAAGAAAUGCAUAGGGGCUAAUACCCUUUAUGUUUGACGGUACCAUCAAAGGAAGCACCGGCUAACUCCGUGCCAGCAGCCGCGGUAAUACGGAGGGUGCAAGCGUUGUUCGGAAUUACUGGGCGUAAAGCGCGCGUAGGCGGUUUGUUAAGUCAGAUGUGAAAGUCCACGGCUCAACCAUGGAAGUGCAUUUGAUACUGGCAGACUUGAGUACUGGAGGGGGUGGUGGAAUUCCCGGUGUAGAGGUGAAAUUCGUAGAUAUCGGGAGGAAUACCGGUGGCGAAGGCGACCACCUGGCCAGAUACUGACGCUGAGGUGCGAAAGCGUGGGGAGCAAACAGGAUUAGAUACCCUAGUAGUC
rnacentral:rRNA from 1 species